rnacentral:rRNA from 1 species
GACGAACGCUGGCGGCGCGCUUAACACAUGCAAGUCGAGCGAGAACCGGGACUUCGGUCCUGGGGACAGCGGCGAACGGGUGAGUAACACGUGGAUAACCUGCCCUCGGCACCGGGAUAGCCCGAGGAAACUCGGAUUAAUACCGGAUAGCCCUUCCGACUUUCGAGUCGUCCGAAAGGUAGCUUCGGCCUCUGCCGAGGAUGGUCCGCGGCGGAUUAGCUUGUUGGUGGGGUAACGGCCUACCAAGGCAUCGAUCCGUAGCUGGUCUGAGAGGACGAUCAGCCACACUGGGACUGAGACACGGCCCAGACUCCUACGGGAGGCAGCA